rnacentral:rRNA from 1 species
GACGAACGCUGGCGGCGUGCCUAAUACAUGCAAGUCGAACGCUGAAGGAGGACCUUGCUUCGCUGGAUGAGUUGCGAACGGGUGAGUAACGCGUAGGUAACCUGCCUGAUAGCGGGGGAUAACUAUUGGAAACGAUAGCUAAUACCGCAUAAGAGUAGAUGUUGCAUGACAUUUGCUUGAAAGGUGCAAUUGCAUCACUACCAGAUGGACCUGCGUUGUAUUAGCUAGGUGGUGGGGUAACGGCUUACCAAGGCGACGAUACAUAGCCGACCUGAGAGGGGGAUCGGCCACCCUGGGACUGAGACACGGCCCAGACGCCUACGGGAGGCAGCAGUAGGGAAUCGUCGGCAAUGGACGGAAGACUGACCGAGCAACGCCGCGUGAGUGAAGAAGGUUGUCGGAUCGGAAAGCUCGGUUGUAAGAGAAGAACGAGUGUGAGAGUGGAAAGUUCACACUGUGACGGUAUCUUACCAGAAAGGGACGGCUAACUACGUG